ACUCCCUCAUGGACAAAAAUCACAAAAUGGCUGCCACCAACUGAGUGUUUUUCAUAGAACCUUGCACUAGAAUGUAUCUUCUAAUUAUUCUUGUGUGAGGAAAUGAGCUUUUUAGUCUUUCCUGGGUUAUCAUUUGUUCCUUCCACCACAAUUACUCAUUUCAGAACUGUAAGUAAUAUG